GAUGAACGCUAGCUACAGGCUUAACACAUGCAAGUCGAGGGGAAACGACAUCGAAAGCUUGCUUUUGAUGGGCGUCGACCGGCGCACGGGUGAGUAACGCGUAUCCAACCUGCCCAUCACUUGGGAAUAACCUUGCGAAAGUAAGACUAAUACCCAAUGAUAUCCCACGAAGGCAUCGGAAGGGGAUUAAAGAUUUAUCGGUGAUGGAUGGGGAUGCGUCUGAUUAGCUUGUUGGCGGGGUAACGGCCCACCAAGGCAACGAUCAGUAGGCGUUCUGAGAGGAAGGACCCCCACAUUGGAACUGAGACACGGCCCAAACUCCUACGGGAGGCAGCAGUGAGGAAUAUUGGUCAAUGGGCGAGAGCCUGAACCAGCCAAGUAGCGUGCAGGAAGACGGCCCUAUGGGUUUUAACCUGCUUUGAUAAGGGAAUAAAGUGGGUGACGUGUGACUUUUUGCAUGUACCGUAGGAAUAAGGACCGGCUACUUCCGU
rnacentral:rRNA from 1 species